rnacentral:rRNA from 1 species
GAUGAACGCUGGCGGCGUGCUUAACACUUGCAAGUCGAACGGAAAGGCCCAAGCUUGCUUGGGUACUCGAGUGGCGAACGGGUGAGUAACACGUGGGUGAUCUGCCCUGCACUUCGGGAUAAGCCUGGGAAACUGGGUCUAAUACCGGAUAGGACGAUGGUUUGGAUGCCAUUGUGGAAAGUUUUUUCGGUGUGGGAUGAGCUCGCGGCCUAUCAGCUUGUUGGUGGGGUAAUGGCCUACCAAGGCGUCGACGGGUAGCCGGCCUGAGAGGGUGUACGGCCACAUUGGGACUGAGAUACGGCCCAGACUCCUACGGGAGGCAGCAGUGGGGAAUAUUGCACAAUGGGCGCAAGCCUGAUGCAGCGACGCCGCGUGGGGGAUGACGGCCUUCGGGUUGUAAACUCCUUUCGCUAGGGACGAAGCGUUUUUGUGACGGUACCUGGAGAAGAAGCACCGGCUAACUACGUG